rnacentral:rRNA from 1 species
GCAGUCGCACGGACCUUUCGGGGUGAGUGGCGGACGGGUGAGUAACGCGUAGGUAUCUAUCCAUGGGUGGGGGAUAACAUUGGGAAACUGGUGCUAAUACCGCAUGACACCUGAGGGUCAAAGGCGCAAGUCGCCUGUGGAGGAGCCUGCGUUCGAUUAGCUAGUUGGUUGGGUAAUGGCUGACCAAGGCGAUGAUCGAUAGCUGGUUUGAGAGGAUGAUCAGCCACACUGGGACUGAGACACGGCCCAGACUCCUACGGGAGGCAGCAGUGGGGAAUAUUGGACAAUGGGGGCAACCCUGAUCCAGCAAUGCCGCGUGUGUGAAGAAGGUCUUCGGAUUGUAAAGCACUUUCGUUGGGGACGAUGAUGACGGUACCCAAAGAAGAAGCCCCGGCUAACUUCGUGCCAGCAGCCGCGGUAAUACGAAGGGGGCUAGCGUUGCUCGGAAUGACUGGGCGUAAAGGGCGCGUA